rnacentral:rRNA from 1 species
GAUGAACGCUGGCGGCGUGCCUAAUACAUGCAAGUCGAGCGAACGGACGAGGAGCUUGCUUCUCUGAUGUUAGCGGAGGACGGGUGUGUAACACGUGGAUAACCUACCUGUCAUACGGGUAUCACUUCGGAAAACCGGCGCUAAUCGCAGAGGAUAUCUUGAACCGCGGUGUUCAAAAGUAAAAUACGGUGUUGCUGUCUGUUAUAGAUGGAUCCGCGCUGUAUUAGCUAGUUGGUAAGGUAACGGGUUACCAAGGCAACGAGGCAUAGCCGAGCUGAGAGGGUGAUCGGCCACACUGGAACUGAGCCACGGUCCAGACUCCUACGGGAGGCAGCAGUCGGGAAUCGUCCGCAGUGGGCGGAAGCCUGACGGAGCAACGCCGCGUGAGUGAUGAAGGUCUCCGGAUCGUAAAACCCUGUUACUAGGUAAGAACAUAUGUGUCAGUAACUGUGCACUGCGUGACGGUAACUAAUCAGAAAGCAACGGCUAACUACGUG